GACGAACCGAGCGAACGUUGUUCGGAAUCACUGGGCUUAAAGGGCGCGUAGGCGGGUGCUCAAGUCCGGGGUGAAAUCCCACAGCUCAACUGUGGAACUGCCUCGGAUACUGGGCGUCUCGAGUGUGGUAGGGGUAUGCGGAACUAUCGGUGGAGCGGUGAAAUGCGUUGAUAUCGAUAGGAACUCCGGUGGCGAAGGCGGCAUACUGGACCACCACUGACGCUGAUGCGCGAAAAGCCAGGGGAGCAAACGGG
rnacentral:rRNA from 1 species